AUUGAACGCUGGUGGCAGGCUUAAUACACGCAUCUCGAGCGAGCGGUGGACGGGUGAGUCAUGUCUGGGAAACUGCCUGAUGGAGGGGGAUAACUACUGGAAACGGUAGCUAAUACCGCAUACCAUCAGAUGUGCCCAGAUGGGAUUAGCUAGUAGGUGGGGUAAUGGCUCACCUAGGCGACGAUCCCUAGCUGGUCUGAGAGGGUGACCAGCCACACUGGAGCUGAGACACGGUCCAGACUCCUACGGGAGGCAGCAGUGGGGAAUAUUGCACCAUGGGCGCAGUCCUGAUGCAGCCAUGCCGCGUGUGGUAAGAAGGCCUUCGGGUUGUAAAGCACUUUCAGCAAGGAAGCGAUGCUCACAAGAGAAGCACCGGCUAACUCCGUACCAGCAGCCGCGGUAAUAC
rnacentral:rRNA from 1 species